UGAAAGUGUCACUAUGGUCCCUUCUGUCACCUUGACACUCAUUUCAGCACAGACUAUCCAUGUAUAGACUCAGACCUCCUGAGUCAAGUGUGGAUGAAGCUCUGAUCUCUUUCUUCCCUUCCGUUUGGGGUCAUCUGAGGACACUCAUUUCUCACACAGGGACCUACUCAGGACUGCCAGCAGGACAGAGGAAAUUAGAAGUACCCAGUGAGUAUAAACUUCAUCCCUGACUGAUGUCCGGCACCCAGCCUAGCCCGUGUCCAUCCCAGGCUUCCAAUCCCUGUGAGCCCAGUGUUUCUCAGUAACACUCCUGCCCUGGCUGGCAGACUGCCUCCCGAGAGGGUUCAGAUAAACAUUCUGUAAAGACAGAGCCAGACAAUGAGCCAGGAUCCGAUUCAGAGAAGUUCCUCUUCUCUGGUUAACGUCAUUUUUAUUAAAUUAUAUCAAUUAUUAUUGUGUGUGCGUGUGUGAGAGAGAGAGACAUCGGGGAGGGCAUACAUGCUAAGCUAAGCCAGUGUAAGUCAGAGAAAAACUUCUAGAAUCACCCUCUCCUAUGGUUAGAUGAAUCACAGGGUUUGGUAGCCGAACUGGGGUUGUCAGUCUUGUCAGUAAGCACCUUCUGCUGAUGAGCUGUCUUGCCCGUCCGACAUUAUUUUUGUGAAAGCUGCCCAUGUUGCUGUGGUUAGUUUGACUCACUUAUUUUCUCAGCCACCAGGUAUCCUAUCUACUGCUUAAACUGCCUCUUUUUGAUGUUAUUUAUUUAUUUUCCUAGGUUGGGCUUUUAGGCUUCUUACUACUUGUUCUUACUAACAAGCGCUUCUGUGAACGUUUUUUGUACGACACGCCCUGUUAACCAUGGAAGAUAAAC
rnacentral:lncRNA from 1 species